ensembl:lncRNA
GCAGGCACGCAUGCGCCGGGCCGUAUUCAAAUACCCAACGUGUUAUUGCCCUUGCCCCCCCCUCGAAGAAAUUCCUCACGGGACUUAAUCUGCAUUUUGCUUCUCCUUCUCUCCUUCAGCACGAAUCCUGGAUCAAUACACCACGGGUAGCAGCCGUGGACACUAAGGCCAAAGCGCAGCAUGGGCUUGCAAUCCGGUCGACUCCAACAACACUCCACCAGCCAAUCAGAGCUCAGUUAUGACUGGACGUGUAUCUGAGCUGGAAUGACCCCUGCCCACUGGCACUGUUCCCACAGUACUGUGGCAAUCUUAAGCACAAUAUAAAAGUCAACAACAGCACGGUUGGGUGGUUCCUCGAACAUGUUCAUGUUUUGGUGUUCUGUCAACACAUGCCC